rnacentral:rRNA from 1 species
CCUACGGGAGGCAGCAGUGGGGAAUAUUGCGCAAUGGGGGCAACCCUGACGCAGCAACGCCGCGUGAUUGAAGAAGGCCUUCGGGUUGUAAAGAUCUUUAAUCGGGGACGAAUUUUGACGGUACCCGAAGUAUAAGCUCCGGCUAACUACGUGUCAGCAGCCGCGGGAAUACGUAGGGAGCAAGCGUUAUCCGUAUUUAUUGGGUGUAAAGGGCGUGUAGGCGGGAAUGCAAGUCAGAAGGGAAAUCUGUGGGCGUAACCCCCAGACUGCUUUUGAAACUGCGUGUCUUGAGUGAUGGAGAGGCAGGCGGAAUUCCCAGUGUAGCGGUGAAAUGCGUAGAUAUUAGGAGGAACACCAGUGGCGAAGGCGGCCUGCUGGACAUUAACUGACGCUGAGGCGCGAAAGCGUGGGGAGCAAACAGGAUUAGAUACCCGUGUAGUC